GGAAGGUUGCCUGAGUUGGCCUAAAGGCGCUCCCUGCUAAGGAGAUGGUCGUCGAAAGUCGGCACAAGAGUUCGAAUCUCUUACCUUCCG
rnacentral:tRNA from 1 species